rnacentral:rRNA from 1 species
UACGUAGGGUCCGAGCGUUGUCCGGAAUUACUGGGCGUAAAGAGCUCGUAGGUGGUUUGUCGCGUUGUUCGUGAAAACUCACAGCUCAACUGUGGGCGUGCGGGCGAUACGGGCAAACUAGAGUGCGGUAGGGGGAGAUUGGAAUUCCUGGUGUAGCGGUGGAAUGCGCAGAUAUCAGGAGGAACGCCGGUGGCGAAGGCGGGUCUCUGGGCCGAUACUGACGCUGAGGAGCGAAAGCGUGGGGAGCGAACAGG